rnacentral:rRNA from 1 species
AUUGAACGCUGGCGGCAGGCCUAACACAUGCAAGUCGAACGAGUGGCGGACGGGUGAGUAAUGUCUGGGAAACUGCCCGAUGGAGGGGGAUAACUACUGGAAACGGUAGCUAAUACCGCCUACCAUCGGAUGUGCACAGAUGGGAUUAGCUUGUAGGUGAGGUAACGGCGCACCUAGGCGACGAUCCCUAGCUGGUCUGAGCUGAUGACCAGAAAAAAUGGAACUCAGACACGGUCCAGACUCCUACGGGAGGCAGCAGUGGGGAAUAGUGCACAAUUGGCGCAAGCCUUAUGCAGCCAUGCCGCGUGUAUGAAGAAUGCCUUCGGGUUGUAAAGUACUUUCAGCGGGGAGGCGUUACCAGCAGAAGAAGCACCGGCUACCUCCGUGCCAGCAGCCGCGGUAAUAC